UUGAGUCGGGUCUGUGGUUGCAAGUCGAAGCCAGUCGCAGGCAAAACGAUCCACAUAAGCGGAACAAAGCUUCCGUGAGCAUGGUGCGGCUUAGAUGUAAGUCCUGUCGGGCGACCGAGAGGGGCAGUAGUGGGCAGCGUAAAGCUUAGUAGCGAACCCUCCAACAGGCGAGUGUGGGGGCAAAGACCAGGUCAGCCGAUCCGA
rnacentral:ncRNA from 1 species